AAACUUUUCUCUUUCGUUUACUACCAACAUCUGUGAUUGGCGUGUAACGGUUUGUCCGGAAUUUCCAUUCAAAGUGGAUUUUGACAGUUGGCUUUUAGGCCGUAAUCAUAUGUUUGUCGAGAAUUUUCAUGCAUUUUCUAGCAUAUACUUCUAGUAAAUAUUCAAUUAGUGGAUAGACCGAAUACGUCCAAUGCACAAAAUUUGCAGCAGAAGAAACGAGAGGCAGAUCAAAAAGUAUGAUAUCGGUGAUUAAAAAAAAGUUCUGCGUAUGCCUGGUCCAGACAUUUACAGACUUUUAAAACAGUAAUAAACUGACCGAUUUUCUUCAGAAAAUAAUAGAUGUGUCCCAGCAUGCAAAGAAUUACGAAUCAAAUACCGUUCAUACUUUUACCAUUUAGAUUUUUUUAAAGAAAUUUAGAACUUAAUCUUUCACGGAAUCUUUUUGGUCUUUUUCGGAGUAACGAACCAAUGAUCUCUAAAUGCGCAGGUAUCCUUCUGUUGAUCAACAGCAUGCGGCAGCUGUUCAAAUCGUAAAAUUAUUUCCACAACUUAGUAAUACGCGAGUCACACCAACUGCUCCUGAUGAGUCAUUUUUCUUUUGGCGCAACGGAGGCAAGGAAAAGGGUGCUCAUACUGGCAUGAUAUUUCAUCGCAUCCGGAAUGUCAUCAAACAGCUACCUGCAGAAAAACAAAUAUAAUCGAGGAACUAUGCCUGUAGAAGAGUCCGUUUCAACUGAACUUGUAGAGCGGGCUCAAUUGCUCCGAGUAAUGCUUGCAUCGGCAUCAGUAGCAGAACAUAUUUGUGAUGAAAUGGACCGAUGCUUUCCAGUCCUCAAACUGUUAUUAAAAGAAAAGAAACCCGUUAAUGAUAUCUUGGAUAUGUUUCCACACCUGUGUUCAUAUGAAGGAUUGGUGGUAACAUGUUUAUUUUUUAUUAUUUACUAUUUCACUUUAUGGUAUUCACGGAACAUAUGAAUAUUUAUAUCAUAUCACUUUUUCUAGAUUCGUCAAAUGUUUGAGAGAUUGUAUCCUAACAGAACAGAAGGUCUCAAAAUCGAGGAUGUCUUCUCUCAGUGUCUAUCUUAUUCACCGUCCAGAUUCUCUAGAGUAGAAGAUGGUGAGAUAUAAUUUUUUUUAAUUUAGCCCAAAGGUCUGUCAUAAAAUUUUAAAUUUGUAAAACUAUUCACAGAUCACAUUCGAGGAUGCUUGAGAAUAAUUUCUCAUAUGCCAAUUCGCGGACAAAAAAGAACGCUGGUAGGCUGUCCAACUGUAGGCGAAGAACAUUCGGCUUCAAUUUUAAUUCGUUGGAUUGGGGAGUGCUUAGAUACAUACAUGGCAUCCCCCGCAACUGAUUCCAUACUACACAUGGUGUGCGUAGCAAGCCCGAUGAAAAGAGGAAAUUAUGCCGUCAUUUGUGAGAAAAAAGUUAUAUUCGAGACUAACAAUUCUAUUCAUGCAGUGGAAAUUUUAUUCAAAUGCCACGCAGUUCUCGGAGUGGAGGUGCCACCUAAUUUUAGAAUGUUUUGGGACUUUCUGGCAUGUGCCAUAUAUAAUAUAAUUCCGCACAGUCAGAGGACAACUGUGAAUAGACUCGUCCAAACUUUUAUUGAAGU